GAAGGAGGGGGAAAGGCACCAACCAGCAGCCGCUCCAGCCCUGCCGAAGUUUCACUUUUUGUCUGUGGGUUCGCUCCCGGGCCCCGCGCGAGCUUUCCCGGGAUAAGUAGCUUUAGCGAGCGGGGAGAGCCGGGCGCUGCAAGGAUCGUGACCUCUGGCUGUGAGAAGCGACAAGACGGCCCUGGCUCACCUCACAGCCAGGAAGAACACAAGCUAAUUUCCAGCAUCUCUCCUCUGCUGCUUUGAGUGAGACGUUCUUCUUCUUCCUCUUCUGUUCAGCCACAUCCUGCUUUAGCCCACUGACAGACAGUAGAACCUCAGGCUAUAUCAUUUGCCUGGCACCUGGGAAUUGAAGAGAAGCCUGACAACUAGUGUGUUGGGAAAGGCCUGAAGGAAGCCAAACCAGCUCCUGCACAGUUGUGAUCCCUUCAGCCAGGGUGAUCCUCAGCAAGACUUCCGGUAUGUAAAUGAGCCUCAUCUGCUGUCUCUGCCUGCUGCCUGCUGUCUGGGAUACCAGAAUUCUAGGUUGAGCCUCUGUGAGCUGGGCUUGGCGGUUUAAUUGGUUUACGAUUACUAUCGUUUUUUGGUAUCUGCUACUUGAAAUAUCUUAUGCCCUUGAUUAAUUCAUGCUUGGGCACUUUCUCAGUGCUCUCUGGAAAAUAGCUCUUUACUGUACAUAUAUUUUCCCAUGGGUUUAUUUCAGUGAGGCUGGAGCCUGGGUUUCUAACAACUUCUCUGAGGAAAACAUUGAAGGCCAUGCAUGUUUCUGGAACUGAAAAAUCUCAGGGGGUCUUCCAGACGUCCAUCUCUACUACCUUCUUUUGGCCCAGAAUUUGCUUUUAGCUGAAAAGGGGGAUUUUGUCCUGAACUGUCCUAUAGACAUGUGUGACUUGGAGUUUGAAAAUCUGACAGCUGCUACUGGACUUUGAACUGCAAGAGUGAGCAGCAUAUAAGACAUAACCCUGUACAACACCAGAUCAUUCUCCUUUAAUUCCCAGAUCCUUAAUGUUUCUUUGUCUUGCGAAUGAUCUCACUGCCUUUUGUAUUUGUAAUGGAAUGCACAGUCAUUUACGAGUAAUCACACAAUAAUUCCUUACACUUUUAAAUGCCUUACCCUUUUCCAGAAGGCUUUCACUAUCAUUGUCUCAUUUGAUCCUUAUAACUGCUCUGAUGGGGAGGAAGAGUUGCUAUUUUAAUCUCUAAUUUUCAGUUGUAAAAACUGAGGUUUAGAAAAGUCAAACAGCUAGAGGUCAAACAGUUAGCUUGGAGCAAAAUUGGAACUGAAAUCUCAAGUAGACUAGCUCCU